rnacentral:rRNA from 1 species
CGCAUCUGUGCAUGCAGCAUAUCAAUAAGCGGAGGAAAAGAAACUAACAAGGAUUCCCCUAGUAACGGCGAGUGAAGCGGGAAGAGCUCAAAUUUGGAAUCUUAAAGGGUUUCCCUUUACGAAUUGUAGUUUAAAGAAGUGUUUUCUGUUGAGGUUUUGGUAAAAGUUCUUUGGAAUAGGACAUCAUAGAGGGUGAGAAUCCCGUAUUUGACCUUUACUUUCAACUUUGUGAUACACUUUCAAAGAGUCGGAUUGUUUGGGAAUGCAGUCCUAAAUGGGUGGUAAAUUUCAUCUAAAGCUAAAUAUUGGCGAGAGACCGAUAGCGAACAAGUACCGUGAGGGAAAGAUGAAAAGAACUUUGAAAAGAGAGUUAAACAGUACGUGAAAUUGUCAAAAGGGAAGCGUUUGACACCAGUGUUGUUUUUCUGAAAAUCAAUUAAAGAACUGUUUAUGCUAAGCUGUUUAGACUUUAUCAGCUAACUGUUUAGUUUUGAGCUUUUCUUUAAUGCACUUUUCAGUUAACAAGUCAACAUUAAUUUCUUUUGCUGUAAAAAAGCUUGAGGAAGGUGGCUUGAGAUUCGUCUUAAGUGUUUAUAGCCUCUUGCCUAUGCAGUCGGAGAGAUUGAGGUCUGCAGCGUAGAUCCUUCGGGGCUAAAUACAUUUGUGCUAAGUUAUAGCAUUUUAUAGACAACUUGUUGACUAUGAUUUGUCUUGUAGCUUACUCGCUUAUGUUAUUUUACCUACGCUUAGGAUGUUGAACGCGCACAGAGUCUC